UUCGGGGUGGAUUAGUGGCGAACGGGUGAGUAACACGUGGGCAAUCUGCCCUUCACUCUGGGACAAGCCCUGGAAACGGGGUCUAAUACCGGAUACCACUCCUGCCUGCAUGGGCGGGGGUUGAAAGCUCCGGCGGUGAAGGAUGAGCCCGCGGCCUAUCAGCUUGUUGGUGGGGUAAUGGCCCACCAAGGCGACGACGGGUAGCCGGCCUGAGAGGGCGACCGGCCACACUGGGACUGAGACACGGCCCAGACUCCUACGGGAGGCAGCAGUGGGGAAUAUUGCACAAUGGGCGAAAGCCUGAUGCAGCGACGCCGCGUGAGGGAUGACGGCCUUCGGGUUGUAAACCUCUUUCAGCAGGGAAGAAGCGAAAGUGACGGUACCUGCAGAAGAAGCGCCGGCUAACUACGUGCCAGCAGCCGCGGUAAUACGUAGGGCGCAAGCGUUGUCCGGAAUUAUUGGGCGUAAAGAGCUCGUAGGCGGCUUGUCACGUCGGAUGUGAAAGCCCGAGGCUUAACCUCGGGUCUGCAUUCGAUACGGGCUAGCUAGAGUGUGGUAGGGGAGAUCGGAAUUCCUGGUGUAGCGGUGAAAUGCGCAGAUAUCAGGAGGAACACCGGUGGCGAAGGCGG
rnacentral:rRNA from 1 species